rnacentral:rRNA from 1 species
GCGUGCCUUUUGUAGAAUGAACCGGCGAGUUACGAUUUGAUGCAAGGUUAAGCAGUAAAUGUGGAGCCGUAGCGAAAGCGAGUCUGAAUAGGGCGUUUAGUAUUUGGUCGUAGACCCGAAACCAGGUGAUCUACCCUUGGUCAGGUUGAAGUUCAGGUAACACUGAAUGGAGGACCGAACCGACUUACGUUGAAAAGUGAGCGGAUGAACUGAGGGUAGCGGAGAAAUUCCAAUCGAACCUGGAGAUAGCUGGUUCUCUCCGAAAUAGCUUUAGGGCUAGCCUCAAGUGAUGAUUAUUGGAGGUAGAGCACUGUUUGGACGAGGGGCCCCUCUCGGGUUACCGAAUUCAGACAAACUCCGAAUGCCAAUUAAUUUAACUUGGGAGUCAGAACAUGGGUGAUAAGGUCCGUGUUCGAAAGGGAAACAGCCCAGACCACCAGCUAAGGUCCCAAAAUAUAUGUUAAGUGGAAAAGGAUGUGGCGUUGCCCAGACAACUAGGAUGUUGGCUUAGAAGCAGCCAUCAUUUAAAGAGUGCGUAAUAGCUCACUAGUCGAGUGACACUGCGCCGAAAAUGUACCGGGGCUAAACAUAUUACCGAAGCUGUGGAUUGUCCUUUGGACAAUGGUAGGAGAGCGUUCUAAGGGCGUUGAAGCAUGAUCGUAAGGACAUGUGGAGCGCUUAGAAGUGAGAAUGCCGGUGUGAGUAGCGAAAGACGGGUGAGAAUCCCGUCCACCGAUUGACUAAGGUUUCCAGAGGAAGGCUCGUCCGCUCUGGGUUAGUCGGGUCCUAAGCUGAGGCCGACAGGCGUAGGCGAUGGAUAACAGGUUGAUA